rnacentral:lncRNA from 1 species
CCCCUUUCCCAAGUCUUAAACGUCGCACUUUCUCGAUGAAGUUUCUGCAAUCUUUCUCAACACAUGUCAUGUUAUAAAAACCACUUGCCUCCACUAUAGUUGAAUUAAAGCUCUUAUACAAUGGUAUUCCUGCUAUGUCAUUUACCUCAAGCCUUCUUUUCACACGUUCACUAACUUGCCUAUUACAUCUGUACAACCUAAACUUAGAUGGGCUCGUUUUAUGGUUAUGCUCUAAAUGCACAACGUUAAUUCAAAAUAUUCCACAUGCACCAGUGGACGCAAUCAAUCUGGCUUUACACCCAGUUUGGAUUGUUGGUAGAGGAUUCAAGGAAUUACUUUGGUUACGAUUUCGUCGCCCUUCUCGACUACAAGUAAAACUCACACUCCUUACUAUCCCAUCAUCUCCCCUCUUUGUAGUUCAUUUUCUAACAGGAAAUCCUACAUGAUAAGCAUAUCUCUUGUAGAAUUCGAAUACUUCGGUCUCAUCCGCAAAUUUCAUACCAACCGUAGGUACAACUAUCUCAUUUUCAACACCUACUAUUUUGUUGGCCAAAACGUCGUCACCCACAAUAUUAGACGAGUUAACAUCCACUCCUUCAAGAAUGCCAUCAUCCACUCCUGCAAGAAUGUCAUUUCACAUUAGGCUUUACACCAAUAGACAUGAUACGAUUGUUUCAAUGUAAAUAAUAUGGUGAUAAACAAUUAGGCUGCUUUCCAAUUUUUU